rnacentral:tRNA from 1 species
GGAGAUGAAUCCGGACCUGGUGGCCGGCGCGGACUUCAAAUCCGUCAGUGAGGCGGCAGCCCCGCCUUUGGUGCGUUCGAUUCGCACUCAUCUUCGCCA